ensembl:snRNA U6 U6 spliceosomal RNA
GUACUCACUUCAGCAGCACAUACAUUAAAAUUGGAAUGAUACAGGGAUUAACAUGGCCCCUGAGCAAGGAUAAUAUGCAAAUUCAUAAAGUGUUCCAUAUUUUU